rnacentral:rRNA from 1 species
AUGGAAGCAGCGAUAGAUGUUGACGAUGACGAGGACACAGAUGCGGAUGAAUCAGAGGAGGAGGACAAGGAUGAGGAUGACAAUGAAGAAGAUGUAGAGGAGGAGGAGGAGGAAGAGGAGGAGGAGGAGGAGGACAAACAAGAAGAGGACAAAGGAGAGGAGGAGGACAAGGAAGAAGAUAGUGAGGCAGAGGAGGAGGAAGAAGAAGGUGAGGCCAAAGAGGGGGACGGGGACAAAGGUGCAGCAGUUGAUGGCAGUGAGAGGGGAGAAGACAAAGGCGCAGCAGUUGAUGGCAGUGAGAGGGAAGAAGAUGACGAUGAAGAAGAUGAGGAUGGUUAUGGCAUCACAAAGGAGCAAAUGAUGAAGCUACCAGGGAGGCAUUAUUGGCUCUUCAAUGUCAACUUGAGGGACGGACGCUUCGAAGUUCUUGACUCAAACAGGACGCUGGACAACAUUGAGCUGAUGACCACCGCCUCUACCAUCGCGGGGGCAGUACGCCAGCUAUGGAGGAGGAAGCAUUACCCAAAGUUCAGCAUCGAGCACUUCCAGAUUAUUGACAUUGACGUACCGAAGCAGCUUGGCAAUAAUGAGUGUGGGCUGUUCGCACUGCUUAACGCCACCGAGUGGAAUGGUAGCAAACUGCCCAACUACGAACCCAAGGAAGUACUCAACAUCAGGAAGAAGCUGGCAUAUGAUUGGGUCACCAGCGUGCACAACACCGCCCCAUGGAGGAAGUUGCUGAGAUACGACAAGGACUAG